rnacentral:rRNA from 1 species
UGACGACCGGCGCACGGGUGCGUAACGCGUAUACAAUCUACCUUUUACAGGGGCAUAGCCCGGGGAAACCCGGAUUAAUAUCCCAUGGUAUCAUUUAGUGGCAUCACUUGAAUGAUUAAAGCUUCGGCGGUAAAAGAUGAGUAUGCGUUCUAUUAGCUAGAUGGUAAGGUAACGGCUUACCAUGGCUACGAUAGAUAGGGGUCCUGAGAGGGAGAUCCCCCACACUGGUACUGAGACACGGACCAGACUCCUACGGGAGGCAGCAGUGAGGAAUAUUGGACAAUGGGCGAGAGCCUGAUCCAGCCAUGCCGCGUGCAGGAAGACUGCCCUAUGGGUUGUAAACUGCUUUUAUACGGGAAGAAACACUCCUUCGUGAAGGAGCUUGACGGUACCGUACGAAUAAGGAUCGGCUAACUCCGUGCCAGCAGCCGCGGUAAUACGGAGGAUCCAAGCGUUAUCCGGAAUCAUUGGGUUUAAAGGGUCCGUAGGCGGGAUAAUAAGUCAGUGGUGAAAGUCUGCAGCUCAACUGUAGAACUGCCAUUGAAACUGUUGUCCUUGAGUAAUUAUGAAGUGGUUAGAAUAUGUAGUGUAGCGGUGAAAUGCAUAGAUAUUACAUAGAAUACCGAUUGCGAAGGCAGAUCACUAAUAAUUUACUGACGCUGAUGGACGAAAGCGUAGGUAGCGAACAGGAUUAGAUACCCUGGUAGUCU